rnacentral:rRNA from 1 species
UGGGCAACCUGCCCCUCUCUCUGGGAUAACCCCGGGAAACCGGAGCUAAUACCGGAUACUCCGGCUGGAUCGCAUGGUCCGGCCGGGAAAGGUCCGCCGGAGAGGGAUGGGCCCGCGGCCUAUCAGCUUGUUGGUGGGGUCAUGGCUCACCAAGGCGACGACGGGUAGCUGGUCUGAGAGGACGACCAGCCACACUGGGACUGAGACACGGCCCAGACUCCUACGGGAGCA